ACCUGCCGAAUGAAUUAGCCCUGAAAAUGGAUGGCGCUGAAGCGGGUGGCCGACACCACGCCGUGUGACCGAGUUUGAUGUCACAUGAGUAGGAGGGCGUGGCGGGCGUGGAGAAGCGUGGGCGCAAGCCUGCGUGGAACGGUCCGCUAGUGCAGAUCUUGGUGGUAGUAGCAAGUAUUCAAGCGAGAACCUUGAAGGGCGAAGCGGGGAAGGGUUCCACGCGAACAUUGAUUGGGCGUGGGUGAGUCGUUCCUAAGUCGAGUGGCAAUUGCUAAGUAGCGGCGAAAGGGAAGCGGGUUGAAAUUCCCGCACAUGGAUGUGGAGCGCGGUGACGCGGAAUGGGGCGAACACGCUGGCGAUGGCGCUGGGCAGAGUUUUCUUUUCUGUUUGACCGAGUGUGCGCGCUGUGUGGAAUCCGCUUGUCGGGAGAAACACGCCCGCACGGGCAGAGCGCCGGGGCUUUUCCGGCGUCCAGCUCGCCAUCGACGGCCCUUGAAACUUUGCCUGCUGAUAUUCAAAUCCACGCCAUGGCGUACCGAUCACCGCAUCAGGUCCCCGAGGUGAACAGCCUCUGCUCAAUAUGAACAAUGCAGGUAAGGGAAGUCGGCAAAUUGGACCCGUAACUUUGGGAAAAGGGUUGGCUCUAGUGCUGCGUGGGAGAGGUUGUCUGUGUGUGGGGGCGGAGGGAGGGCCGGCUUGGCGCGGUAGCCUCGCAAGGGGAUACUGUUCUGGGCUGCUCGCUCACUGUUUCCGCCGCGGACGACGCCCACAGCAUGCAGCAGACUAGAACUGCAACGGGCAAAGGGAAUCCGACUGUUUAAUUAAAACAAAGCAUUGAGAAGG
rnacentral:rRNA from 1 species